UACGGGGGGAGCAAGCGUUGUUCGGAUUUACUGGGCGUAAAGGGCGCGUAGGCGGCACCGCAAGUCGACUGUGAAAUCUCCGGGCUUAACUCGGAAAGGUCAGCCGAUACUGCGGGGCUAGAGUGCAGAAGGGGCAACUGGAAUUCUCGGUGUAGCGGUGAAAUGCGUAGAUAUCUGGAGGAAUACCGGUGGCGAAGGCGGCAUCCUGGACCGGCAUUGACGCUGAGGAGCGAAAGCCAGGGGAGCAAACGGG
rnacentral:rRNA from 1 species